GACGAACGCUGGCGGCGUGCUUAACACAUGCAAGUCGAACGGAAAGGCCUGCUUUCCCUUGUGGAUUGCGGGUACUCGAGUGGCGAACGGGUGAGUAACACGUGAGUGAUCUGCCCCCAACUUGGGUAUAAGCCUGGGAAACUGGGUCUAAUUCCCGAUAGGACUGCAGGGUGGUGCCUGUGGUGGAAAACGAUUUUCUAGUGGUUGGGGAUGAGCUCGCGGCCUAUCAGCUUGUUGGUGGGGUAAUGGACUACCAAGGCGGCGACGGGUAGCCGGCCUGGGAGGGGGGACGGCGACAUUGGGACUGAGAUACGGCCCAGACUGGUGCGGGAGGCAGCAGUGGGGAAUAAUGGACAAUGGGCGGAAGCGUGAUGCAGCGACGGCGCGUGGGGGAUGACGGCCUUCGGGUUGUAAACUCCUUGCGACCGCGAGGAAGCCACCUGGUUGGAAGGGUGGUGACGGUAGUGGUAGAAGAAGCACCGGCUAACUACGUG
rnacentral:rRNA from 1 species